UCUAUAUUGUUUGCAUGGGUCUAGAUUACGCUCUGAGAAUAGAAUGUUCCCUGCAUAAAGAGCGCGGCUGGAGUAAAUCAAUGAGGAUGCACUCAGAAACAUCAAUUAAAGAAAGCUGCUCCCUUUUCAUCACAGCCCUGAUAAUGAAUUGCAGUGUACAAAGCCGGUCAUACAAUACGCAGCAGCGGCAGCGCGGAGCGAGAAUCUUUGGGAAGAGUUUCCAUAGAAACAUUGACGUCCUCCUGGCGAACAGGACACCGAGUUCCUUCAAUGGGAGACAAAGACGUGGACCUCAAGGCUUGUCCAACCCCCCCAUGGACUGUGGCUUCUCCAUGCCGUGUCACGUCUUUGGCCCUGUGGUUCCACUGGGCUCACCCGCAACAGGCUUUUGCUCUGCAAAAAGGCUGCUCAUGGUACUGAUGACAUGGAUAUGCAAUCACUGACCCUCCAAAACCCCAGGGAGAACCAUUUCUAGGAGGGCCUGAGCUAAAUACAGCCUCUCUACGACUGCAGCCUUGCUGGUGGCCGGCAGAGUCUCCCAGAGGAGACGACAGAGCUGAUACUGCAGAACUAACUGACAUUAAACUGGCAGAAUCCCAGCACAAAGGUGAACUCGAGGAAAAAAUUAUAUUGGAUUUUAAUAAAACUUUCCUCAAAGGUCAACCUCUCUAAGCUGCCUUCUGUGUCUUGUUCAGGACUCGAGCAACUUUUGCCAGCAGCUCAGCAGCAGUUACCGGGUUUGUAAAGCUCCUUACGGAAUCUCACCUGAAAACACUGAUCUGCGGCGCUGUGCAGUUUUUCCCACUUCAAAGGGAAAUCUGCUGCUGCCACCCCAGAACUGAGCACAGCGAGACACUGAACUGUCACUGGGGGCUGAUGUCACCUCCCAAGGUGUGUUUGUUGUACCAGGGAGACUUCUGAGUGCUAAUGUCAGAAAAAACAAAACAAAACAACCACCUCUAUUUGUCUUUUCGCCUUCUCUGUUUAGGGAGUUGUUUCACGUUGUCUCUUUCUGUUCAAAACAAAUACCCGGGGCUCUCACUCAGAUUCCCAGUGAUGCUACAGCAGUUCCCAGUAGUCUCCCAGUUGCUAACGCUUGUAAUUUCAUAAUGUUCAUACUUUAUUUUCCAUUCGGGGUGCACAGUGACGACAGGUGACCCAGUUUUCACUGAAGGAAUGUGCAACCCCUUAUGGUUAAAAAUGGGUGAGAAAUGGGGGGGGGGGGGGGAAUCGUAAAUAUUUUUAGUCUUAAUCAAGAUUUUCAAGCUGUUUGCAACACUGCAAUCCCAGUAGCAUCAACACUGAAAUGUCCGAAUAAAAACUAUGUGUUUUACAAUGAA